GUGUUGUAUGAAAGGAGAGAAGGUUAGCACUCUCCUCCACGAGGAUGGAGAGGCCCUUGGGCCUGACAACAUGCAUUCGGUUAUGGUGUUGCCACUUAGGCAGCUAACUGUCAGUUUUC
rnacentral:ncRNA from 1 species